rnacentral:lncRNA from 1 species
ACAGCUGUUUGCUGUGUGCAACAGGCUGAUAGCCCUCUUGGUUCCAAGGGGUUUUCAACUUCCUAUGUGUCAGCAAGUUCAAGAGAAAAAUUUUAAGGCAAAUGGGCAUUUUGUUGCCACAAUGUAGUGGGGUAAUUUCCAGGAUGCUCUAAAACUCCGAAGCUGCUGCGGGUCAUCUGUAAACUCAGAACUGUAAACAUGGAGGGAGCGCUUCCGGUGACCUGAAGGCUGGAGAGGUCUCAGUCAGAUGCAUGUGUGUAUUUGGGACUUUUGCAACUGAAGCUUCGAGCAUCCUUCACUAGGUCUUCCUCUAGAUCCUGAUCAAGGCCAAGAUCUGAAGGAAGUGUCCAUAAGGAAUGAUUAACCAUCAUUAGGUUGCUAAACCACUCCAGGACUUUUAACUAGAUGAAGAAAAGAAUAUUUGCCAGCUCUCGUCUCUGAGAACAUUCUUGCCUGUGUUUGGAAGGAAAUACUCUGAUAAACUGCAUGGAGUGUGAGGAAGAAUUGAAUAAAAGGAAGAACUUUCUUGAAUUUCCAACGGUAACUGAAUUUGGGGGCCUUGGUAGAAGGGGUGGUGGAGAAGAGCAAUGGCCCAUAGCGGUGAAGGAGGAAAUGUGAUAUGGGAAAAUACAAAGAUGAAUGAGCAAAAUGGAAAAAUAUUGUUGUUUUUAAGCAAUUUUUAAGAAUUGGUGAAAUUUUCUCUGAGUACCAUACACGCGCACGCACGCACGCA